rnacentral:rRNA from 1 species
UACGUAGGGUCCGAGCGUUGUCCGGAAUUACUGGGCGUAAAAGAGCUCGUAGGUGGUUUUGUCGCGUUGUUUCGUGAAAAACUCACAGCUUAACUGUGGGCGUGCGGGCGAUACGGGCAGACUGGAGUACUGCAGGGGAGACUGGAAUUCCUGGUGUAGCGGUGGAAUGCGCAGAUAUCAGGAAGAACACCCGUGGCGAAGGCGGCUCUCGUGGGACGGUACUGACGGCUGAGACGCGAAAGCGUGGGGGAGCGAACAGG